rnacentral:rRNA from 1 species
GAUGAACGCUGGCGGCGUGCCUAAUACAUGCAAGUCGAGCGAACAGAUAAGGAGCUUGCUCCUUUGACGUUAGCGGCGGACGGGUGAGUAACACGUGGGUAACCUACCUAUAAGACUGGAAUAACUCCGGGAAACCGGGGCUAAUGCCGGAUAACAUGUUGAACCGCAUGGUUCUACAGUGAAAGGCGGCUUUGCUGUCACUUAUAGAUGGACCCGCGCCGUAUUAGCUAGUUGGUGAGGUAACGGCUCACCAAGGCAACGAUACGUAGCCGACCUGAGAGGGUGAUCGGCCAAACUGGAACUGAGACACGGUCCAGACUCCUACGGGAGGCAGCAGUAGGGAAUCUUCCGCAAUGGGCGAAAGCCUGACGGAGCAACGCCGCGUGAGUGAUGAAGGUCUUCGGAUCGUAAAACUCUGUUAUUAGGGAAGAACAAAUGCGUAAGUAACUGUGCGCGUCUUGACGGUACCUAAUCAGAAAGCCACGGCUAACUACGUG